CGUUAGCGGCGGGCCUACCACAUGCAAGUCGAACGCGAAAGGUCUUCGGACUGAGUAGAGUGGCGCACGGGUGAGUAACACGUAGGUAAUCUACCCUUUGGCGGGGGAUAACGUUCCGAAAGGAGCGCUAAUACCGCAUAAGACCACGGAGUCUCCGGACGCUGUGGGAAAAGGUGGCCUCUUCUUGAAAGCUACCACCGAAGGAUGAGCCUGCGUCCCAUCAGCUAGUUGGUAAGGUAAUGGCUUACCAAGGCGAAGACGGGUAGCUGGUUUGAGAGAAUGAUCAGCCACACUGGCACUGGAACACGGGCCAGACUCCUACGGGAGGCAGCAGUGAGGAAUAUUGGGCAAUGGGCGAAAGCCUGACCCAGCCACGCCGCGUGAGUGAUGAAGGCCCUCGGGUCGUAAAGCUCUGUGGAGAGGGACGAAAACCCUGGUUUCAAAUAGGCUCCAGGCUUGACGGUACCUCUUUAGCAAGCACCGGCUAACUCUGUG
rnacentral:rRNA from 1 species